GACGAACGCUGGCGGCGUGCCUAAUACAUGCAAGUCGAACGCAGUGGGGACGGGUGAGUAACCCGUGGGUAACCUCCCAUCAGAGGGGAUAACACUUGGCAACAGGUGCUAAACCGAUACUGAUGGAUGACCCCGCGGUGCAUUGGCUAGUUGGUGAGGUAACGGCUCACCAAGGCCACGAUGCAUAGCCGACCUGGGAGGGUGAUCGGCGACACGGGGACUGAGCCACGGCCCAGGCGCCUACGGGAGGCAGCAGUAGGUAAUCUUCGGCAAUGGACGAAAGUCUGACCGAGCAACGCCGCUUGAGUGAAGAAGGGUUUCGGAUCGUAAAACUCUGUUGUUAGAGAAGCGGUAUCUAACCAGAAAGCCACGGCUAACUACGUGCCAGCAGCCGCGGUAAUAC
rnacentral:rRNA from 1 species